AUGGGCGCAAGCCUGAUCCAGCAAUGCCGCGUGCAGGAUGAAGGCCUUCGGGUUGUAAACUGCUUUUGUACGGAACGAAAAGCCCUGGGUUAAUACCCUGGGGUCAUGACGGUACCGUAAGAAUAAGCACCGGCUAACUACGUGCCAGCAGCCGCGGUAAUACGUAGGGUGCAAGCGUUAAUCGGAAUUACUGGGCGUAAAGCGUGCGCAGGCGGUUUUGUAAGACAGAGGUGAAAUCCCCGGGCUCAACCUGGGAACUGCCUUUGUGACUGCAAGGCUAGAGUACGGCAGAGGGGGAUGGAAUUCCGCGUGUAGCAGUGAAAUGCGUAGAUAUGCGGAGGAACACCGAUGGCGAAGGCAAUCCCCUGGGCCUGUACUGACGCUCAUGCACGAAAGCGUGGGGAGCAAACAGGAUUAGAUACCCUGGUAGUCCACGCCCUAAACGAUGUCAACUGGUUGUUGGGUCUUAACUGACUCAGUAACGAAGCUAACGCGUGAAGUUGACCGCCUGGGGAGUACGGCCG
rnacentral:rRNA from 1 species